UCGUGCGUGCGUCCGUCUGUCCGUCCAUCAGACACAAAGACCUAGGCGCCGCAGAAUGGAGAAGCCAUGGAGUGAAGAGUCCCAACACUAGUCUCCCAAGUCUUUGAGGUGAAAAAAUAUGGUAAGUUGUUGUGUGAGGGAAGUUCAAUGACAGAUCUGAGGCCUUAAUCUAAAGUGCUUUGUUUCUGGUUUUAGUUUUGCCCAAGUUUGAUGUGACCGUAAACGGACUGCAGAUCUACAGCGUUGCAGUUAUGGGACUGAAAGUUGAAUCUUGUGCCAAAUACACAUAUGGCCAACCUGUACCUGGUCAAGCCUUAGUGGAAGGUGUGCCGUAAUCCAUUUUCAUACAGUCUGCUUCAUAAUUUGACCAGACAGUGCCUGACUCAAACCGCAAAGGUGAAUGCCACGGGCUGUGCCUCUCUUACUGUUGAUGCGUCAGUGUUUUUCAACACCAAAUUUGAAGACCACAUGCAAGACACAUUUCUUCAAAAUGUGAAUGUUACUGAGGAGGGAACAGAUGUAAUGGUGUCAAAAUCUGCAAUGGUGUCCUUUACAAACAAAGCUGUACAUCUCUUGGAGGGGAGCAACUGGCCCAACAAACACGAAUCUAACUGGAAUACUGUGUGCGUACAUCUUAAAAAACCACACCCAUACUGAUGUAUGAAUCGAAAGACAACAGUAAAAAACUUUAUUGUGGACAUGGACCAUGUGAUUGUUCUGCCUGAACAAUCUGUAGCGGUUGUCACCCAGUUUAAGAUCCGCACCUCAACAACUUUCAUACAAAAUUUGGUCCUUCGAGCUGGAGCAGACAGCUACUACAGCAUUACCAUGUCUAGAACAGGAAGACAGGCUACGUCAGUGCCACCAGUGGUUCGACCACGUCGACAGGUCAUCCCACCAAGAUACUUGACUUCUAUGUUGAUUACACAGUGCCACAUCAGUUACUUCAUUCUGAUGAACAGCCUACAAAUGGUGCCACUGGAUCUGAGCAAGGUAAAAGGCCUGCAUUUAAAGAGUUCACAUGUAUUGAAAGCGGACCAGAACUAAUGAAAAGUAUGAGCACUGGAUCAAGUGAAAGGAUCACCGCCACGGCCAAUCGCCAUCACCGCCACGGCCAAUGCCCCGUACUCUGACUUCUCCAAGGCGAAUAAUUUAUGCAGAUCAGAGAGUUCUCUCCUCAAGUCCAUAUACAGCAGCCACUGAGGGCAGGCCAGUUCUGCCUAGAGAUCAAGAUGAUCCUUCUCAGCCCAUGAGAGCACUGCCUGUAGAUUCACGAGGUGACCUUCUGCAUUCUCAUUCUGUCAGUCACAAAGAGAUUGAUCUCACUGACAACCUAGGAGACCUGAGACCUACCAGGCUCGGAAACUCGGCUAACUUCAAGUCAUCCUUUCUCUUCUUAUGAACCAACUCAAUCCCAACACAAGCUAGCUCAUCAAGAAGAUGCUACAUAUCCUCAACCUGGUAUUAGGCACAGAGAUAGACCACGUGGUUACUACAACACAGACCACAGAGGCCAUAACUAUAUGUCCACUGACCAAAGAGAUCGCAACCAAUAUCCCGCAGCUGUUCAGUUUAUGCCUCAGGACUACAGUCAAGAGACAGCAGCUGCGUAUGGGACUUAUAAAGAUCAUAGUCUGAACUGCAGACCCGUCCGCUAUUUCCCUUCCACUGAACCAUAUGGUUUUCAGCAACCUUAUCAUGGGAUUCCAGCUACAAGUCCAAUCUAUGAAGAUGAGAGACUUACUCCAAGGGAUACAUUGGCUCACCAUGCAUAUGAGAGACACUCAGACAGCUAUGGUCAAUCAACUCCUAAUCCUACAGACAA